AGAGUUUGAUCCUGGCUCAGGACGAACGCUGGCGGCGUGCCUAAUACAUGCAAGUAGAACGCUGAAGAGAGGAGCUUGCUCUUCUUGGAUGAGUUGCGAACGGGUGAGUAACGCGUAGGUAACCUGCCUUGUAGCGGGGGAUAACUAUUGGAAACGAUAGCUAAUACCGCAUAACAAUGGAUGACACAUGUCAUUUAUUUGAAAGGGGCAAUUGCUCCACUACAAGAUGGACCUGCGUUGUAUUAGCUAGUAGGUGAGGUAAUGGCUCACCUAGGCGACGAUACAUAGCCGACCUGAGAGGGUGAUCGGCCACACUGGGACUGAGACACGGCCCAGACUCCUACGGGAGGCAGCAGUAGGGAAUCUUCGGCAAUGGGGGCAACCCUGACCGAGCAACGCCGCGUGAGUGAAGAAGGUUUUCGGAUCGUAAAGCUCUGUUGUAAGUCAAGAACGGGUGUGAGAGUGGAAAGUUCACACUGUGACGGUAGCUUACCAGAAAGGGACGGCUAACUACGUGCCAGCAGCCGCGGUAAUACGUAGGUCCCGAGCGUUGUCCGGAUUUAUUGGGCGUAAAGCGAGCGCAGGCGGUUUGAUAAGUCUGAAGUUAAAGGCUGUGGCUCAACCAUAGUUCGCUUUGGAAACUGUCAAACUUGAGUGCAGAAGGGGAGAGUGGAAUUCCAUGUGUAGCGGUGAAAUGCGUAGAUAUAUGGAGGAACACCGGUGGCGAAAGCGGCUCUCUGGUCUGUAACUGACGCUGAGGCUCGAAAGCGUGGGGAGCGAACAGGAUUAGAUACCCUGGUAGUCCACGCCGUAAACGAUGAGUGCUAGGUGUUGGAUCCUUUCCGGGAUUCAGUGCCGCAGCUAACGCAUUAAGCACUCCGCCUGGGGAGUACGACCGCAAGGUUGAAACUCAAAGGAAU
rnacentral:rRNA from 1 species